UUGCUCACUUGGGCAGCACAAAUAUCAAAAUUGGAACUAUACAGAGAAGAUUGGCAUGGCCCCUGCACAAGGCUGACAACUUAAAAAUAUGUAAAAAUAAAGAUAAAA
ensembl:snRNA U6 U6 spliceosomal RNA